ensembl:rRNA 5S_rRNA 5S ribosomal RNA
UUCUAUGGCCAUACCACCCUGAACAUUCCAAAUCUAGUCCGAUCUCAGAAGCUAAGCAGGGCCUGGCCUGGUCCGCCCUUGAAUAGGAGACUCCUGGGAACACCAGGUGCUACAGGCC